rnacentral:rRNA from 1 species
UACGGAGGGGGCAAGCGUUGUUCGGAAUUACUGGGCGUAAAGGGCGCGCAGGCGGCUGCUCAAGUCAGGCGUGAAAGGCCUGGGCUCAACCCGGGAAUUGCGCUUGAGACUGGGCUGGCUUGAGUGCGGGAGAGGAUGGUGGAAUUCCCAGUGUAGAGGUGAAAUUCGUAGAUAUUGGGAAGAACACCGGUGGCGAAGGCGGCUAACUGGUCCAGCACUGACGCUGAGGUGCGAAAGCGUGGGGAGCAAACAGG